UACGUAGGGUGCAAGCGUUAAUCGGAAUUACUGGGCGUAAAGCGUGCGCAGGCGGUUUUGUAAGUUUGUUGUGAAAGCCCCGGGCUCAACCUGGGAAUUGCAAUGAAGACUGCAAGGCUUGAAUCUGGCAGAGGGGGGUAGAAUUCCACGUGUAGCAGUGAAAUGCGUAGAGAUGUGGAGGAACACCGAUGGCGAAGGCAGCCCCCUGGGUCAAGAUUGACGCUCAUGCACGAAAGCGUGGGGAGCAAACAGG
rnacentral:rRNA from 1 species